UCCGGCUUGACGCCGGCAGUCCCCCGAGAGUCCUCAGCUUUACCUGUUAGUAACACGGGGCAAGGGUUGCGCUCGUUGCGGGACUUAACCCAACAUCUCACGACACGAGCUGAUGACAGCCAUGCAGCACCUGUGCACCGGUCCCGAAGGAGGGCCGUAUUUCUACGGAUUUCCGGCGCAUGUCAAGCCCUGGUAAGGUUCUUCGCGUUGCAUCGAAUUAAACCACAUGCUCCGCUGCUUGUGCGGGCCCCCGUCAAUUCCUUUGAGUUUCGGUCUUGCGACCGUACUCCCCAGGCGGAGUGUUUCACGCGUUAGCUGGGCCCCUGAUCCACGUAGACCAAGGGCGAACACUCAUCGUUUACGGCAUGGACUAC
rnacentral:misc_RNA from 1 species